rnacentral:rRNA from 1 species
UGGGGAAUUUUGGACAAUGGGGGCAACCCUGAUCCAGCCAUGCCGCGUGCGGGAAGAAGGCCUUCGGGUUGUAAACCGCUUUUGGUCGGGAAGAAAAGGCACAGGCUAAUACUCUGUGUUCUUGACGGUACCGGCAGAAUAAGCACCGGCUAACUACGUGCCAGCAGCCGCGGUAAUACGUAGGGUGCGAGCGUUAAUCGGAAUUACUGGGCGUAAAGCGUGCGCAGGCGGGUUCGUUAUGUCCGAUGUGAAAGCCCCGAGCUUAACUUGGGAAUGGCAUUGGAAACUGGCGGGCUGGAGUGCGGCAGAGGGGGGUGGAAUUCCACGUGUAGCAGUGAAA